GCCACCUUCGCGCCGACCGCCGUAGCCGCCACCGCCGCCAUAACCGCCGUCACGGCGCCCGCCACCAUAACCGCCGCCGCCGCCGCGACCGCCGCCGUAGCCACCGCCGCCACCGCCACCGCCACGGGACUGGGCCUGGUUAACGGUGAUGUUACGGCCGUCGAGCUCCUUGCCGUUCAUGUUCUCGAUAGCGUCGAGCAUGGAGUUCUCGGAGGAGAAGGUAACGAAGCCGAAGCCGCGGGACCUCCCCGUCUCCCGGUCGGUGAUGACCUGCAUAAUCACAUGAAAACGUCAUGCUCGAUUCGAGCGAACGCAGAUCUGUACCAAAACGAAGCAGAUCUGUUGAACCACGACCCGGAUCUAGCCCCAACGGCACAAACAGACCGCGAAAUGAAAC
rnacentral:lncRNA from 1 species